rnacentral:tRNA from 1 species
CCUGGUAGCUCAGAUGGUAAAGCAUCUGCCUACAAUGCAGGAAACCUGGGUUUGAUCCCUGGGUCAGGA